rnacentral:rRNA from 1 species
CCUACGGGAGGCAGCAGUGAGGAAUAUUGGACAAUGGGCGAAAGCCUGAUGCAGCAACGCCGCGUGAGGGAAGACGGGUUUCGGGUCGUAAACUUCUAUCAACAGGGGCGAAAGGAAUGGCGGUACCUGAGUACGAAGCCCCGGCUAAAUACGUGCCAGCAGCCGCGGUAAUCCGUAGGGGGCAAGCGUUAUCCGGAAUUACUGGGUGUAAAGGGUUAGUAGGCGGGAUGGUAAGCCAGAUGUGAAAGCCUUGGGCUUAACCCGAGGAUUGCAGUUGGAACUAUCAAGCUAGAGUACAGGAGAGGAACGCGGAAUGCGUAGUGUAGCGGUGAAAUGCGUAGAUAUUAGGAAGAACACCAGUGGCGAAGGCGGCUUUCUGGACUGAAACUGACGCUGAGGCACGAAAGCGUGGGGAGCGAACAGGAUUAGAUACCCGUGUAGUC